ACAGCUAUGAUUGGCCGUCUCCUGGAUGGUUCCCUGGGACCCCCUGCUCCUGAUGUUCAUGCCUUUGUGUGUGGCAUUCUGCGUGACCAACAGAUUAUGUCUGAAUCGAUGGAAUGUUCUUAUUGCUCUGCAGACAACAUCCAGCCUGAGCUGGAGGUUACCAUGGUGAUGUGGCCAUACAGGAUGGCUUCAAGACUACAUCUUGCUGAGUUGUUUCCAGGGAGAAUUGAGGAUUGUUGUCUUUUGCUGAUAGGUUCUACUUAAACAUGACCCUCCCUGCCAUCUCUUUUCUAAGAAUAAUUAAAGAAUUUUGUUGUUGGUGGAUGCCCAGGCUGGCUGUUUUCAAAAGUGUAAAAGUAGGUAACAUUCAUCUUUACAUUUUCCUUUUCUGUGACCUUUUCCCCAGUAACAGCAUUCUUCUUUUUCUCUAGGCAUUUGAUGACCUUAUAUUACCUCAGGCCUUCCUAAAAAACAAUAAAUGAACCUGAUAAGCU